rnacentral:rRNA from 1 species
UACGUAGGGGGCAAGCGUUGUCCGGAAUCAUUGGGCGUAAAGAGCGUGUAGGCGGCCAGAUAAGUCCGCUGUGAAAUCUCGAGGCUCAACUUCGAGCUGUCGGUGGAAACUGUCUGGCUAGAGUCCGGAAGAGGAGAAUGGAACUCCUGGUGUAGCGGUGAAAUGCGCAGAUAUCAGGAAGAACACCCGUGGCGAAGGCGGUUCUCUGGGACGGUACUGACGCUGAGACGCGAAAGCGUGGGGAGCGAACAGG